rnacentral:lncRNA from 1 species
CCCCUUGGGGACCGGCGCGUUCCUCCGCGGCCCUGUGCCCUGCCUCUAAUGAAAUCUAUCUAAAACAUCCAGUAAUAAUGUAAAUAGCUUUAAUUGCCGCGUAUUUAAGCCAUCAAACCAGACUAAAAAAAAAAAAAAAAAAUCUGUUAAAAUUGGCCCUGUUCCAAGUCAUUGACACCAUCCAGCCUGUCCAAGCGGGGUGUCCAAAUAUGUUUUGAUACAGGAGUUUUCAAUGUACCAGGGUUUCUCUUUUUUGUAAGUAGGACCAGUGACCUGAAGGCUUUGCUAUAUAAACUGCUAUCUGCAAAGGGCUAUUGCUUACCUGAUUCUGCUUGAAGAAAAUUGCUGUGAAAUCUUUCUGAGAGCAGCAUCUCUCUGGCACAUGGGGGCUGGAUCAGCUCUUGCGCACCAGAACAGGUGGACAGCUGCCAAGGGAGAGCAUCCAGAGUGAGGUGUGAGGCAAACAGUGCCCUUCUACUGCCUGCCUGAAACCACAGGAGGCUACGCUGACUGCAUGAGCUGUG